GUUAUGAUUCCCAGCGCACUGACGCAGGGCCUUUGAUACAGCCAUGCCGGUGCAGAGGUGAUGUGGGCGCUGUCCAUCAUGAU